rnacentral:rRNA from 1 species
AUGCAAGUCGAACGAGCGAGAGAUAGCUUGCUUUCUCGAGCGAGUGGCGAACGGGUGAGUAACGCGUGAGGAACCUGCCUCAAAGAGGGGGACAACAGUUGGAAACGACUGCUAAUACCGCAUAAGCCCACGACCCGGCAUCGGGUAGAGGGAAAAGGAGCAAUCCGCUUUGAGAUGGCCUCGCGUCCGAUUAGCUAGUUGGUGAGGUAAUGGCCCACCAAGGCGACGAUCGGUAGCCGGACUGAGAGGUUGAACGGCCACAUUGGGACUGAGACACGGCCCAGACUCCUACGGGAGGCAGCAGUGGGGAAUAUUGCACAAUGGGGGAAACCCUGAUGCAGCGACGCCGCGUGGAGGAAGAAGGUCUUCGGAUUGUAAACUCCUGUUGUUGAGGAAGAUAAUGACGGUACUCAACAAGGAAGUGACGGCUAACUACGUGCCAGCAGCCGCGGUAAAACGUAGGUCACAAGCGUUGUCCGGAAUUACUGGGUGUAAAGGGAGCGCAGGCGGGAAGACAAGUUGGAAGUGAAAUCCAUGGGCUCAACCCAUGAACUGCUUUCAAAACUGUUUUUCUUGAGUAGUGCAGAGGUAGGCGGAAUUCCCGGUGUAGCGGUGGAAUGCGUAGAUAUCGGGAGGAACACCAGUGGCGAAGGCGGCCUACUGGGCACCAACUGACGCUGAGGCUCGAAAGUGUGGGUAGCAAACAGGAUUAGAUACCCUGGUAGUCCACACUGUAAACGAUGAUUACUAGGUGUUGGAGGAUUGACCCCUUCAGUGCCGCAGUUAACACAAUAAGUAAUCCACCUGGGGAGUACGACAGCAAGGUUGAAACUCAAAGGAAUUGACGGGGGCCCGCACAAGCAGUGGAGUAUGUGGUUUAAUUCGACGCAACGCGAAGAACCUUACCAAGUCUUGACAUCCUGCGACGCACAUAGAAAUAUGUGUUUCCUUCGGGACGCAGAGACAGGUGGUGCAUGGUUGUCGUCAGCUCGUGUCGUGAGAUGUUGGGUUAAGUCCCGCAACGAGCGCAACCCUUAUGGACAGUUACUACGCAAGAGGACUCUGGCCAGACUGCCGUUGACAAAACGGAGGAAGGUGGGGAUGACGUCAAAUCAUCAUGCCCUUUAUGACUUGGGCUACACACGUACUACAAUGGCGUUAAACAAAGAGAAGCAAGACCGCGAGGUGGAGCAAAACUCAGAAACAACGUCCCAGUUCGGACUGCAGGCUGCAACUCGCCU